CCAACCCAAACCCUAAUUCCCCCAUCAAAACCCUAAUGCCUUAUGUCAUGUGUGAUAUCAUCAUGUCCAACCAAUGCUUGACAACUUUGUAUCAUGUCCAAUUGUAUCUUGCCAACAUUGAGUUGCCUUCAUCCAAUUAGCACUUGACAUAUUUGAAUGAUGGGGUGACAAAUGGCAAACUAGAAAUACAUGCAUUGGGGCUCAAUUUCCUGGUUAAUGCAAACAAUGGGCUGUUUGAUGGUUUACCCAAACAAUGAGUUUGACACCAGAUAAAUCAAACCUACUUAGAGCCCCUUUUUCUUACAUUUCUCAACUUUUUUUCUCUCUCUCUUCUAUCUUUUCUCUCUCUCUGGUACGCUCUCUCUAUCUCUCUCGCCUCUUCAUGAAGAACAACAAGAACACCACCGUCUCGUCCCCAGAUUCCGGCGGCUGGCCAUCGCGAAUCCCAUACUCAGGCGAGUCACCACACCAUCUCGUCCUUCACCGCCACAUCCACCACAGCCUCCACCAUCUCGUCCGCCGCCUCUAACUCAGUGAAGCAUCCUCGCCGAUUUCAUUCCUUGGAUGUGAAAAGCCUCUCUGGUUUUGAUAUGUGAUUUCUUGAAUCCAUCAUGGGACAAGAGUGAGUAACAUGAAAUUUGAUUUGAGGGUAGUUUUGAUUCAGUUUCAAUUAUUGGGUAAUCUUAUAACUCUUACUGCUGCCGCUGCAACAGGCUCCAUGGAAGGAUAAGGCUCCUCCAGACCUCCACCUUCCCCCAAGCCAGCCAAAUAUCGUGGUGGCAAGCAGAGAAGAAGUGGCGCAAAGGAAAGCAAAAGGAGAAGGUGAACAAUCAGUGGAUCUUUUAUAUAUUCUUAUGCUUUCAAAUAUAAAUUGAGGUACCUAAUUUAAAUGUAUAGAACUGUUAUGCUUCCAGAAAUAACAUGUUAUACUAUUCUUAUGCUUUCAAUUUUAACAUGUUAUACUAUAUGCAGCACUAUGAUUGUUCUUUAAUGAUACAGUGUAUCUUUGUUGGAGGCUUUAAAAAUUGAAAAUUUGUAUUCUAUUGUUCAAUUUUCCAACUUAAAAAUGGUCUUGAAGAAUUUUCUAAAUGAUUACAUUCGGAUCUAAACCCUUAGAUGAUAUCAUUAAAUUGAAGGAAAAAUAUCGGUUUCGCAUUUUAUUAGACGAGAGCAACUCAUUUGGUGUGCUUGGAAGUUCUGGAAGAGGCCUCACUGAACACUAUGGAAUUCCAGUAUGUACUGCAAUUUUUGUUUGGGUGUGGGUGCAUACACUUGUACCAGAUCUACUGUUCGUACAUUCAAAUUUCUACCGCUAUUUGUGAUUUGUUGUAAUGUGCUGCAGGUUGAGAAAUUAGAUCUUAUAACUGCUGCUAUGGGACAUGCAUUGGCCACAGAAGGAGGAUUCUGCACCGGAAGUGCGAGAGUUAUAGAUCACCAAGUAUGGUAGUUCAUAAUCUAAGUGUAAUCUAUAUGGUUUUUAGGUCAUUUUAGAAGAGGUUAUUAAUAUGAUGAAUCUUUUGAAUUCAUGUAGAAACUGAGGAAGAGGUACUAUUAUAUGCUUUAACAUGUUUCUUGUGAUUUGUUCAAGAGGAUGCAAACUUAUUUUAGUGCUUUGCUUGCAGGUAGUACUUAAGUAAGGAUUCAUAUCUUCUCCAUUUUCGUCUAUCACUUCCUUUAUUACGAUCUCAGCUUUCAUCAACAGUUUUCUUUUCUUCUAUCCAAUGACUUGAUUAUGCAUCUAUUCUCAACUACAUGUAAAUGUUUCCAUAGGAUUUAGCUGUUGAAUCGAGAUUUAGGCUUAUUGUGUUACGUUUAGUAUCUGAGAAUUUGAUUGAAUGCAUGAUUUUAGUAGGCUCUGGCUUAUAGAGUGUGGAGAUUUUUUGUUAUUUAAUUAUAUAUUAUAUUUAGGAUUAGGAUUAGGAUGUGAUAAUUAUUAGUUCUAAAAUGACAUUGUAUUAGGCAUUUUUAAGUGGAAUGACAAUUUCAACUUGAUAUGCAUUAUUUUGUGUAUUUUAUAUUUGUUGUUAGUUUGUUACUUAAGAUGAGUACUUUUUUGCAAUUUUGUAAUUUUGAAAAUAUUGACAUGAUUUUGGAACUGCUUUCUUAUGCAAUUUCAAUUUUUAAUAGCAUGAGGGAAUUUUAAAACACCUGACAUGUUAGAAACUUAUUAGACAGUUGUUUAACUUUAAAGAUUGUUGGAAGUAGUAUUGCAUUUUGAUUUAAUUGGUGCCUAUGUUUUCAAUUUAUUGCCUUCUUAAGUGGAAAGUUAGUAAUUGAAAUUUUCAUUUAGCAUUCUUAUAUGUUGUCUGCUUUAACUGAAUCGUUUUCCCCAUCUCCAUGAAACAAUUUCGAUUUUUUAUUCAUGGAUGCUUUCAGUUCUUAUAGAGCAAUGAACUAAUGAUUACACACAAUCACACACACCUGUCAUUCUGUCUUAAAAAUGUUGCAACUCUCUCUUUCUCUAACUCUCUUUGUGUUAAUUGUGGCAGUGUCAUUCAUGGAGGUAGAUGUAUGUCUGCAUCUUGGCUCAAUGGAAGGCAUAUUUAUAAGUUGUGGGAAAAAUUUGUCUGGGAAUAUGGUUUGACAGUUGGGUAGAUGCAAAAGAUUUUCGUAUUUUCAGGGACUAAGACUUGAAGGCGAGAAAAUGUCUUUUUCUUUCAUUGUAUUAUUCGGCAAUUGCAAGUACCGGGCUGCAUAUCACCGCAUAUAACAAUAUAAGUCAUAUAUAGAGUUGAUUCAUGUCCUAAAUCUGGCAUCUCUUCCUAUAUCGACAAAGAUCUACCCAGGAAGAUGCGUCAGAUUUAUUCGUAGUGAUUCUCAGGUAUUUCCACAACCGUUUGAAGCCUUCAAAGCUCACAUGGACUGCCAUGUACAGGAAGCAGCACAAGAAGAUUUUGUGCUCUAAACUUCUAUCCAAAAACAAUUGCAUUUAUAUUCCUUGACCUCUCUAGACUUCCAUGGCGUGAGUUUUGUCAGAGUUCAUUUCAAGAGCAAGUGUAUCAUCUGAUGUUAGUGGACACUGCUACUAUGAAUGCCUACAAUGGUGGACGGGUUGAUUUUUGUAGAACACGCAUAUUGGUUGAAGGGAUGCCGGUUAAAUUUAUAGCCACCAAACCCCUUGACAACCAGGUUAUUUAUGUUAAGGUUGCUGUUGAUUUUUCCAUGCAAACUACUUCGGUGCAGCAAGUGAUAGAUGGAAAGUUUGUUCCUUCUGUGGUCGCGGCACAACUCUUUGCGGUCACACCAUGAUUUGAAUUGUUCGAGUUGUGUUGUCUUCUUUGAUUCACAUGUAUGAAUUCAUGGUUUAUUAUGUGAAUUUUGAUUGGAGUGUCAUGUUUUAUUUUCAUAGUAACGUUGAAAGCUUAAGCUAUGUACUUGGUUAAGCUUUUGCAAUAUGGCUUUUGCUCUUCUUUAUUAUGUGACUUUUGAUAGUAGUGUCAUAUUUUAUUUUGAUAGUAAUGUUGAAUGGAUAUGAUGUGUGAUGUUUCCAUAA